rnacentral:lncRNA from 1 species
UUGUUCUUCAGCGUUUCCUAUUCACACAUAUCUUCCUACCCUUCUGUUAAUUGUAAUGGGUGUAAAGGAUCCAGUCUCUUGGAGGUUGCGAUGUAUUCUUGUAAAAGUGGCCUGUGAUGGACCUCUUCGUUGUGGAAAUGUUUCCCGAAAAAGACGUACAGCUUCUCUGCUAUUUCCAUUCGCUCAUCCAUGGGGGGGAAAAACUUGAUUUAAAUCUGGUAGAAAACAAUAUUUUUUGCCUGAAUUUGCAUAGAGAACGUACCAAAAGCAGACGACCAUUCGUAUUAAAAGCAGAUGAUAUUUUUGCUGUAAAUUAUUAUUUU